GUGACCUGCGGAAGGANCAUUUA
rnacentral:rRNA from 1 species